AGAGUUUGAUCCUGGCUCAGGAUGAACGCUAGCUACAGGCUUAACACAUGCAAGUCGAGGGGCAGCAUGUUGGUUGCUUGCAACCAACGAUGGCGACCGGCGCACGGGUGAGUAACGCGUAUCCAACCUACCCUUGUCCAUCGGAUAACCCGUCGAAAGGCGGCCUAACACGAUAUGCGGUUCACGGCAGGCAUCUAAGGUGAACGAAAUGUGAAGGAGAAGGAUGGGGAUGCGUCUGAUUAGCUUGUUGGCGGGGUAACGGCCCACAAGGCUACGAUCAGUAGGGGUUCUGAGAGGAAGGUCCCCCACAUUGGAACUGAGACACGGUCCAAACUCCGUACGGGAAGCA
rnacentral:rRNA from 1 species